rnacentral:lncRNA from 1 species
CAGGAUUCCCAUGGCGUUUGCUGAUAUAUAUAUAUAUAUAUAUUACAAUGUACGUAUAGAAAGGUACUGAGCAUAAAAAGAAAAGCUUUUAACAGCUGGGAUUUUAUAGGAGUUUGAUUAUAAUUUUCAUAUUAAACUGUUCUUUUUAUUUUUUAAAAUAAUUAUUUAUCUUUAAGAAAUUGAAGCUUCAUAUCCCUUUUCAUCUUCUCUGCUGGGUCCGCCCCCCCCUUAUUUUCUCUCUUCUGUGUGAGUGACAGCCUAAUCACCAGCCUGGAAAGAGUAGUUGUUGCAAGCUGCACUAAAGAGCGAGAAUUUCUGGGUGGAUUUUCAUGGUGAUUUCAUGUUUAUCUCAACUGGGUUCUUAUCAUUUGACGCAGACCCAGUUCAAGUUGUAGCUGAUUUUGUUCUCAUUUCAGCUUAUUCGUUUCAGGAGGUAAGAGCAUUGAAGUAAACUCUCUUGUCUCGCUGUUCAUGUCGAGGAGCUCCAGUUAAUUAUUUCUUUCUGGUGCUUGUUAGCCCUAAGUUUGUGCUGUUGUUUGUUAUGAGAUUCUUCCAUGCUGUUGUGUAUUGAGAUUAGCUUACUUGCAUUGGUCUGUGGAUAGAUCUGGGGGCACCCUUUUGAGUUCACUGAUUUGAAACGCUUGGGAUUCUCUUAAGAUUCUUUACGGUAAAUAUGGUCUCCUCUGGAGUUGCAGGUGUUUUGGAAUUUUGAGACAUA